rnacentral:rRNA from 1 species
GAUGAACGCUAGCGGCAGGCCUAAUACAUGCAAGCCGAGGGGCAGCAUCAGCUUCGGCUGGAUGGCGACCGGCGAACGGGUGAGUAACGCGUACAUAACCUGCCCCGGACUGGGGGACAAGCACUGGAAACGGUGUCUAAUACCCCAUGGUAAUGCGGAGGGGCAUCCCUCUGCAUUUAAAGGUUACGGUCCGGGAUGGAUGUGCGUACGAUUAGUUAGUUGGUAGGGUAACGGCCUACCAAGACUUCGAUCGUUAGGGGGCGUGAGAGCGUGGACCCCCACACGGGUACUGAGACACGGACCCGACUCCUACGGGAGGCAGCAGUAAGGAAUAUUGGGCAAUGGAUGCAAGUCUGACCCAGCCAUGCCGCGUGCGGGAUGAAGGCCCUAUGGGUCGUAAACCGCUUUUACAGAGGAAGAAAAAGUCCCACUUGUGGGAUCGUGACGGUACUCUGCGAAUAAGCACCGGCUAACUCCG